rnacentral:pre_miRNA from 1 species
CCGUGCCUCCUGCUUCGCCCACUCACCUCGCCACGUGGCAGCCGGGCGAGGUCCCCGGGGCAGCAG